rnacentral:rRNA from 1 species
AGCGAACGCCGGCGGCGUGCUUAACACAUGCAAGUCGAACGGUGAAGCCCAGCUUGCUGGGUGGAUCAGUGGCGAACGGGUGAGUAACACGUGAGCAAUCUGCCCCUGACUCUGGGAUAAGCGCUGGAAACGGCGUCUAAUACUGGAUACUAACCGUGGAGGCAUCUUCAACGGUUGGAAAGAUUUUUUGGUCAGGGAUGAGCUCGCGGCCUAUCAGCUUGUUGGUGAGGUAAUGGCUCACCAAGGCGUCGACGGGUAGCCGGCCUGAGAGGGUGACCGGCCACACUGGGACUGAGACACGGCCCAGACUCCUACGGGAGGCAGCAGUGGGGAAUAUUGCACAAUGGGCGAAAGCCUGAUGCAGCAACGCCGCGUGAGGGAUGACGGCCUUCGGGUUGUAAACCUCUUUUAGCAGGGAAGAAGCGAAAGUGACGGUACCUGCAGAAAAAGCGCCGGCUAACUACGUGCCAGCAGCCGCGGUAAGAC